rnacentral:rRNA from 1 species
AUGAACGCUGGCGGCGUGCUUAACACAUGCAAGUCGAACGGUGAAGCCCAGCUUGCUGGGUGGAUCAGUGGCGAACGGGUGAGUAACACGUGGGUAACCUGCCCCUCACACCGGGAUAACUCAGGGAAACUUGAGCUAAUACCGGAUACUCCGGACUGAUCGCAUGGUCGGUCCGGGAAAGUUCCGGCGGUGAGGGAUGGACCCGCGGCCCAUUAGCUAGUUGGUGAGGUAACGGCUCACCAAGGCAACGAUGGGUAGCCGAGCUGAGAGGGUGACCGGCCACACUGGGACUGAGACACGGCCCAGACUCCUACGGGAGGCAG